rnacentral:rRNA from 1 species
UACGAAGGGGGCUAGCGUUGCUCGGAAUGACUGGGCGUAAAGGGCGCGUAGGCGGAUGGGACAGUCAGAUGUGAAAUUCCCGGGCUCAACCCGGGGGCGGCAUUUGAGACGUUUUGUCUGGAGUGCGGAAGAGGGUCGUGGAAUUCCCAGUGUAGAGGUGAAAUUCGUAGAUAUUGGGAAGAACACCGGUGGCGAAGGCGGCGACCUGGUCCGUGACUGACGCUGAGGCGCGAAAGCGUGGGGAGCAAACAGG